UCCAGAGGGUGCAAGCGUUAAUCGGAAUUACUGGGCGUAAAGCGUGCGUAGACGGUUACAUAAGUCAGAUGUGAAAGCCCCGGGCUCAACCUGGGAAUUGCAUUUGAGACUGUGUAGCUAGGGUGCGGAAGAGGGAAGCGGAAUUUCCGGUGUAGCGGUGAAAUGCGUAGAUAUCGGAAGGAACACCAGUGGCGAAAGCGGCUUCCUGGUCCAGCACCGACGUUCAGGCACGAAAGCGUGGGGAGCAAACAGG
rnacentral:rRNA from 1 species